rnacentral:tRNA from 1 species
AGGGGAUUGGUGUAACGGUAGCACGACUGACUCUGGAUCAGUUAGUCUAGGUUCAAAUCCUAGAUCCCCUG